AUAGGUUUCCCCUCCACCAUCUCCUUCUAUUCGUUGUUCUUGCUUUCUCUCAUCUAUGACUGAGCUUGAGGAUUUUGGAGUUUGAACAGGAGAAAGAAUGAAGUGAAAAUGAAGGGAAGGAGGAAGUGAAUAUCAGUCAAAAGAAGAAAUUAUUUGUUGCUAGUGCAACUGGGAAGACACUGGAAAGAGGAUUUUUUAGCAGUUUCUAUCAAAGAGUUUAAUCUUACAACUGAAGCUACAAAAUUCUCUUGCUUGAAAACUGCUGCUAAUGGUGCUAGUUCUCUUCUUCCUUUGAUAAGGUUGAUCAAAUAAACAAGCAGAAGAUAAAUGCAGUAAAGAUACUUAAGAUUUGGUUGAUCGGUGCUAGACUCUUGCAUGUUCUAUGAAUCUUUUAUUUAUUUGAAACUUUGUUCAAGCUUCCGUAAACUCUUAAAUUGUUAAACAGUAUUGUAUAUUUUACUUUUAAUAUGUGAAUAAUAAUAGUUGGAUAUUUUGGAAUA